GCCUGGGAGGAACCUGCUCAGUCUAGGCCUAAGGAAGCAGCAUUGGUGGUGCCUCAGCCAUGGCCUGGACCGUUCUUCUCCUCGGCCUCCUCGCUCACUGCACAGGCUCUGCGACCUCCUAUGAGCUGACUCAGCCACCCUCGGUGUCAGUGGCCCCAAGACAGACGGCCAGGAUUACCUGUGGGGGAAACAACAUCGGAAGUAAAAUUGUGCACUGGUACCAGCAGAAGCCAGGCCAGGCGCCUGUGCUGGUCAUCUAUGAUGAUAGCGACCGGCCCUCAGGGAUUCCUGACCGAUUCUCUGGCUCCAACUCAGGGAACACCGCCACCCUGACCAUCAGCAGGGUGGAAGCCGGGGAUGAAGCCGUCUAUUACUGUCAGGUGUGGGACAGUAGUAGUGAUUAUCCCACAGUGACACAGGCAGAUGAGGAAGUGAGACAAAAACACCCUCCCAGCCUCAGUGACCCUCUUGCUUCAGCCCCGGGAAGACUGUUGAUAAAGCCAUGAGUGGAUCUGGCCCGGUUCACCUGGAUCUGAGCCUUUCAGGCUGCCCUUCCCUCCAGCCCCCUCCAGGAGUCUCUACAGAGCAUACAUCAGACAUACACAUGGCCCGGAAGGGCCAGAAUCAUCUGGUGACUUGGGGCUGUUGUGUGAGUUAGAGAAUGAGGGCCUGGGUGGAAAGACAAACAGAGGCAACCUCUGUCCACUGUCCUGCCUCUGGAUGGUCAUAUGGUGGGGACAGGGCCAGUCCUUAAACCAACUGUCUGGAUCAGGCCCCAGAAUUACUGCCCAGUUCUGCUGAGGUCCUGGGCCUGAGGCUGUGUGGCAGCCUGUGAUUCCCAACAGAGCAAACCAGAGGAAUGGACACUGUGAACUCUGCCCAGAUCCCCUCCUCAAUGUGACCCAGCUGGCACUGCUGAGAAGCCCAGCAGCUCAGAGCUGUACCCUCACUGGGAAGUGCUGUUGGUUGCAGAAAGCUUCCUCAAGUUUAUGUCCCUUCUCAGAGGGGUUUAAUCAACCAAGAUCUCAAGUCCUUGCCUCAAUUUAAGAUGCCACUGAAUGAAGGGCCUCCCAGCUCCAGAGCUCCCUCUGUGGAGCCUGAGCCUCAAUGUCAACUCCAUCAUGAGUCAGGGUCUUCUUCUGCCCCGUGUUGCCUCCCUCACUCCCUUCUGAAUCUUCUGUGCAUGGACAUCUCUAUUGCAGAGUUGGCUUCCAGAGAACCCCAUCUAAGAUGGCCAGCUGUCCCCAAUAUGGGUCAUCAGGGACCUGAGGACGCCACUAUAAACUGAAAACUCUGGUUUCUGUCCAAAUUUUCAGAGUAAAUGUUGAAAUGCCCAAACUGAUGGUUCCUUGAAUUUUUAUGGAAUGAAAAGGGAGCCUGACAUGCCAGGUGCUCUGGGUUGAGGGAGCGUUGGAGUCAGAUCUCCCUGUAGGGAAGCCCGGGGCAGGGAGAGCAGCCUCACCCCUCCCAGGAACCACAGAUACACCCGCAGGGUGAGCUGCAGGAUGGACGCUGCCCACCUCCACCCUCCACAUCCUCUGUAAAUGUUGCUCCCUUCUACAACUCCAAUCAGAUAUGUAGAUGUGGUGAACUACGUAAAAUACGGAUCACUCAUCGCUUCAAAUCCCACUGCAGGACACCCUGGUCAACAAAGAACCCAAUCACAUCCCUAUCAACUACAUAGUUUCCAAAUUUUCCAUCUCCAGAAAAAUAACAACAAUAGACAUGAAAAUCGAUGUAAUUUAUCUCAUAAAUAAUUUCAUGUUGAUAACGUGAAAAUGAUAGCAUUUUGCUGUACUGAAAUAAAUAAAAUAUAUUUUAUAUA